AGUGAACGCUGGCGGUAGGCCUAACACAUGCAAGUCGAACGGCAGCACAGUAAGAGCUUGCUCUUACGGGUGGCGAGUGGCGGACGGGUGAGGAAUACAUCGGAAUCUACUUUUUCGUGGGGGAUAACGUAGGGAAACUUACGCUAAUACCGCAUACGACCUACGGGUGAAAGCAGAGGAUCUUCGGACCUUGCGCGAUUGAAUGAGCCGAUGUCGGAUUAGCUAGUUGGCGGGGUAAAGGCCCACCAAGGCGACGAUCCGUAGCUGGUCUGAGAGGAUGAUCGGCCACACUGGAACUGAGACACGGUCCAGACUCGUAAGGGAGGCAGCAGUGGGGAAUAUUGGACAAUGGGCGCAAGCCUGAUCCAGCCAUACCGCGUGGGUGAAGAAGGCCUUCGGGUUGUAAAGCCCUUUUGUUGGGAAAGAAAAGCAGCAGGUUAAUACCCCGCUGUUCUGACGGUACCCAAAGAAUAAGCACCGGCUAACUUCGU
rnacentral:rRNA from 1 species